UGAUAGCUCAGUCUGUAGAACACGGGACUCUUAAUUUCAAGGUCAUGGGUUCAAGCCCCAAGUUGGGCAAAA